GACGUAGGGCGCGAGCGUUGUCCGGAUUUAUUGGGCGUAAAGAGCUCGUAGGCGGUCUGUCGCGUCUGCUGUGAAAACUCAGGGCUUAACCCUGAGCUUGCAGUGGGUACGGGCAGACUAGAGUGCGGUAGGGGAGACUGGAAUUCCUGGUGUAGCGGUGAAAUGCGCAGAUAUCAGGAGGAACACCGGGUGGGCGAAGGCGGGGUCUCUGGGCCGAUACUGACGC
rnacentral:rRNA from 1 species